rnacentral:lncRNA from 1 species
GAGAAAGCUCUUGAAUGUUCGGUCACUUGGGGAAGAAAAUUGAAGGUAAGUUCAUGGUAGUUUGCUUCUAUCUUGAUGUUCAUGAGUUCUUCUUGAUUCUACCUUAACUCUUGAAGCAUAUUUUGGUUUUUGGUUGUGUUGUGAGCAUUUGGUCAUGAAUUAAAAUGAAGGAAAUGGUUGUUGUUUCAUGUUCUUUUGAUGAAAAAUGGAAGAUAGGUGAAGUUGAGCCAAACAAAUGAGCAUGCAUGUGCCUUAGAUGCUAAGGGGAAAAAUCGGCUAACAUGUUGUGCUUUAAAAUGAUGAAAUAGAGACUAUACUUAAGUAAACGCAUAGAUAUGUGAUGAUUGAUUGGUGAUAUACAUGUUUAAAUAACAUCAUGAAGUUAUGUGUGAAAGAGUGAAUUUGGUAAUAAAUCUGUUUGGGACAGCAGCAAUAACGUGACUUUGGAAAAUCACCAUAAAUUGUGGGAGAUGAAUUAGAAGCUGAAUAAAUUAUGUAAUUAAAGCUUGUUGAGUCUAGUUUCAAAUGAAAUAAACAAGAACAUAUUUUGAAUUCUUUACAAUGAGAAAUUUUAUUCGUAAUGAAGAGUGGUCAGAUUAGUCAAACAGUGAAACAUGGGAAACUUUAAGAAAAAUCUGGUAUUGAUUGGUCAUACCAAAAAUUCUGAAAAUUUUAUGGAUAGAAUAUAUAUGAGUCUAUUUUCAUGGAAAAUUAACGGCACUUGAUUUGGAAUUUUGUAGCUCCAGUUAUAAAUAAUUUAGUGACUGUUGCUCAGGAAGACAGCUUGCAGUGAAAUUAUGAUUAUAUGGUAAACAUUGACAAAAAUUUGUUAAUGAGUUGCUUAUUGUUUUCUUAUAAGCUUACUAUGAUCUGUAGGUGUGGUUGGCCGAAUAUUGCAAGGGGUUAAUACGUAGUUCGUAUUUGAAUAGUUAGAUUAAUGUGUUAGUAAUCCAAUUGUAGGCAGUUCGUGUGUGGAUCUCGUCAGCAUAUCGUCGCAAACAGGUGUGUAACUAACACCCUCUUUCUUAGUCUAGAUCGGCAAAAGUCGAAAAGCUGAAAUGCCGAAAACCGGUAUUUUGUAGAUUUGCGAGUGUGCGAAUGCUCGUGAGGUAAAUCGAUUAAUGUUUUUGGUAAGCUGCAAUGUUUGGACUGCAAAGUGCAUGAUUUCUAUGUCCUCGAUAUUUUUGGGCUUAAUGGGCCAAAAUUGGAAUGAUGGGCCAAUGGGCCCAAUUCGGUAAGAACCCUCGGUAGUGAUUUUGUUAGUACGUGAAAGGUAGGAAUAUGCAUGAAAAACCCUAAAAUAGAUAAAUUAUUAAAAUACCUUUAAAAGUGGAAAAUUUACAGUUCUACCCCUAGUAGAUAAAUUACCGAAAAACCCCUAGGGUUAAAUUGACCUAAAUGCAUGUUUGAUUGUUGUUAUUUACUGCAUGCUAUGUUGUUAUUAUCUGAUGCAUGGGAUUGGGAUAUUGACGGAGGAAGUACUGAAAGUGGCUUGUCCACGUACUGGAGCCUUUGCCUCAAUUUACUGUUAACUGAGCAGCAAGGCUGCAACUGUGGAGUGUUGGGCUGGGUGGGUUGAGCUAUUCCCCAUAUGGAGUGUAGGGCUAGUACGGGUGGAGUGUAGUGGUUGGUGGGUUGAGUAGUCUCCCCAUAUGGGCUUGCAUAUGUUAUUGAUGUUGCAUGUAUUUUGAAAUGGGCCUAUGGGCCAUACUGUUAUCUGAAUAAGGGGCUAAGGCCCAGUUUAUUGUAAUCUGAAAAGGGCUCUGGUCCAGUACCACUGUUACCUGAAUGGGCUUAGGCCCAAUAGGCUUGAGCUGACUUGGGCUUUGAAUGGGUUUUCCUUACACAUUGAGUUUCCCCAAACUCACCCCUUUUAUUUUCAUCCACGCAGGAAAUCCCCAACCAUAGUGGGCUUGGAGCUGUGAGGGAAUUCGGAGUGGCCACCCGUUCUGAAAGUUUGAUUUUCUUCUGGUGAACUGGACAUCCUUUUAUUUACGUUUGAAGUUUUG